rnacentral:rRNA from 1 species
CAUAGAGGGUGAGAAUCCCGUCUWUGGCACGGACUCCCAGGGCUUCUGUGAUGCGCUCUCGACGAGUCGAGUUGUUUGGGAAUGCAGCUCAAAAUGGGUGGUGAACUCCAUCUAAAGCUAAAUACUGGCGAGAGACCGAUAGCGAACAAGUACCGUGAGGGAAAGAUGAAAAGCACUUUGGAAAGAGAGUGAAACAGUACGUGAAAUUGUUGAAAGGGAAACGCUUGAAGUCAGUCGCGUCGACCGAGACUCAGCCUCGCCUUGGCUUGGUGUACUUCUCGGCUGACGGGUCAGCAUCAAUUUCGAUCCUCGGAUAAUGGCAAGGGAAAGGUGGCACCUUUUUAGGUGUGUUAUAGUCCUCUGUCGCAUACGAGGGUCGGGAUUGAGGAACUCAGCACGCACCUUUGGGUGUCGGGGCAACUGCCCACGUUACGUGCUUAGGAUGCUGGCGUAAUGGCUUUAAACGACCCGUCUUGAAACACGGACCAAGGAGUCUAACAUACCCGCGAGUGUUCGGGUGGAAAACCCGUGCGCGCAAUGAAAGUAAAAGUUGGGGACCUCUGUCGUGGAGGGCACCGACGCCCGGACCAGACCUUCUGUGACGGCUCUGCGGUAGAGCGUGUAUGUUGGGACCCGAAAGAUGGUGAACUAUGCCUGAAUAGGGUGAAGCCAGAGGAAACUCUGGUGGAGGCUCGUAGCGAUUCUGACGUGCAAAUCGAUCGUCAAA